rnacentral:rRNA from 1 species
GGGUUUGAUUAUGGCUCAGGAUGAACGCUAGCGGCAGGCCUAACACAUGCAAGUCGAGGGGUAACAGGGAUUGCUUGCAAUCCGCUGACGACCGGCGCACGGGUGCGUAACGCGUAUGCAACCUACCUUUUACAGGGGUAUAGUCAAGAGAAAUUUUGAAUAACACCCCAUACGAUCAUUUUUACACCUGUAAAGAUGAAGAAAACUCCGGUGGUAAAAGAUGGGCAUGCGUCCUAUUAGUUAGUUGGUGAGGUAACGGCUCACCAAGACCGCGAUAGGUAGGGGUCCUGAGAGGGAGAUCCCCCACACUGGUACUGAGACACGGACCAGACUCCUACGGGAGGCAGCAGUGAGGAAUAUUGGACAAUGGAGGCAACUCUGAUCCAGCCAUGCCGCGUGCAGGAAGACUGCCCUAUGGGUUGUAAACUGCUUUUAUACAGGAAGAAACCUUGGU